GCCAAUUCUAAUUAAAGGAACUCGUUUGUAAAUCGACAAUACUCGUUAAUUUUAACUCGAAAACUUUUAGCUUAUAUACCGCCGUCCAAAUUAUUUUUAUAAAAAUAAUUUCCCCUGCAAAUUAACUAACAUCAGGUCAAGGUAUAGCCAAUACUCCAGUUCAAAUAAGUUACUAUAAAAACAAUUUAUGGAACUAAAUAAAAAUAACAUAAAAAAGGAUUUAAUAACAAUAUUAUAAUAGUAAUUCAGUAUGAAAUUGUUUUAAC
rnacentral:rRNA from 1 species